GAAUACUAACAAAAACACUGUAGAAUUGAAAACUAUGAAAAUAUAUAAGAUUAGUAAAAUUCCAAGUUAGUAUAUGAAAUGAGACUCCUUUUUUUUUUCCCCAAAAGAAUGUAAUGAGGCAGGUUCAUUGUUUAUUUGUAGGAAAACAAAUGGGAAAAGAGCCAAAGGUGUCUAGAAUUGAACCGGUCCGGUUCACCAGCAAAACUAACCUGAAAUAGACCCUCCAUCCCUUUUGGAUGCGCGCUUCGCACCAAUGAUUUCAUUAUGGUAGCGGAAAACAAACUUGACAAAAAGCUUCGGUCUUUUUUUCCCUGAAUUUAUCCGUAAUUUUCGUUUCCCUUUCAUUUCACAUCCUCUUGAAAAAAACCCCCAAAUCUCAAUCAAUUCUUAACCUCACCCGGAAAGCCCUAAAUUUUCUUCAUGGAUUUCUUCAAAUCAGUUUUCGCGGACGAUCCAGAUCCUCCUAAACCCCAAUCCCAACCCCAUUCCGAUUCCCCCAAAGCCGACGACUUUACCCCUGAUUCCUCUCCUAAACAGCCCGAUCCCAACCCUAACCCUACCGGAUGGAGCUUCGGCGGUCUGAUCAAAACGAUAGCAACAAGAUCCGAAUCCGUAAUCGAAACCUACCGUCGCGAUCUCAAGGAAUUCGGGUCGGGUUUAAAAAAAGAAAUUGAGGUAGCCCAGGGCUCGUUAGAGAACGUAGGGCACGUCAUUGAUGAGUUCGGGAACACUGUUAUAAAGGGAACGGCUCAGAUCAUCACUCAAGGCAAGGAUGCAAUACUAGCUGUCGAUAACGAAUCAGAUUCCUCUGCCUCUGAAAGCAAUGGCAAGAGUUUGAGUACUCAACGGAGUUUGAACUCAAAACGGUACAGUCGAUUGGAUGCUCAAGUAAGGGCAAUCCAAGGAGAUAUUAAUACUUACAGUGAAGAGCCAGAGGAUUUGGAGGAUUAUAAGAAGUGGAAAUCAGGGUUCGGUUUGGAAGAGAAGAAGGAAGAGAUUGAGAGAUUGAUGGAAGAGAAUGGGGAAAUAGGGAGCAUUUAUAAAAAGGUUGUUGGUGUUUCAAAUGGGGUUGAUCAUGAGACGUUUUGGGGUAGGUACUUCUAUAGGGUUUUUAAGCUUAAGCGAGCUGAGGAUACGAGGGUUAAGCUUGUAAAGAGAGCGAUUUCAAGGGAAGAAGAGGAGGAGUUGAGUUGGGAUGUUGAUGAGGAUGAGGAUGAGAGAAAUGUGGUGUGGAAGGCGACUUUAAAGAAAGAAGAUGUGGAUAGGAAAGAAAAAGAUGAAACUGUGGAAGAGAAGGCAGUGAAUUUGGGACCUAAAGGUGAUUUUUUGGAGAAUAAGGAGCAAGUUGAGAAGGUAAAGGAGAAGAAUCCUGUUGAGGAACUGGACAGUUAUGAUUCAAAUAAACAAGGGAAGGGAAAUGAUGAUGAAUCAAGUGGUGGCAAUGUGGUGACUGAGAAAGUUAAUUUGGAGAAGAAUGAGGAGGCAUGCAAGGAAGGUUCGGUGUCGAAAUCUGUUGAGAAAGUAGUUUCUGAAGGGAAAGGCGACAAUGAGGAGUCUAGUAAUGGCAAUGGUAAAGACAGUGACUUUUCAGUGGUGUCAAGCCAUCCAUCAAUGCCUGAGGAGGACGAUCUUGGGUGGGAUGAAAUUGAGGAUCUCAGCAGCAUUGAUGAUAAGAAAGGGACUCAUGCUGGGAGCCCGCGCUCCAAUAGGGCUGAUCUGAGAAAACGACUAAGUACUGCAGAAGAAGAGGAGGAUUUGAGCUGGGAUAUUGAAGAUGAUGACGAACCGGUUAAAGCUUGAUGAAAAAUGAACUAUAAUCAUAAUAUAUAUCAUUGAAGCAGAAAAAAGAAAGGGAAGAAUGUUCUGUUUAUUCCUUCUAAUUUUAAGAUGAAUAUCGAAGCAUGCUGUACAUCUGGACCGGAAGGGCACAGAACUAAGGUAGGGAAGGAACACUUCCGGGAUUUGAGGAUCCUACUUCAGAUAAUAAAGGCUUUCGACUCUGCGAAAAUUCGAAUGUUCAAACCUGACUAAGGUAAGAAAGAACAGAAACGUCAGUUCUUUAGAUAUACAUAAAUUUUUUUAAGUGAAGAUUGUGACUAAUAUGGUCUGAACUGAACCUCAAGGAAAAGCAAUAAGGUUCAAUUUAACAUUUACGGGCAUUUUGUCUAUAUCCUAGUCAACAAAGAACUUGGUGGUAAAGAUACACAUAAUUGGUAACCAUGGUAACCACAAACUAAUACUAUCUAUCUGUCUGUAAAAGAGAUUAAUAUAAAUGACUUAAUAGCUUAAUACAAAAUUCAGCCCUUCAGUAGAGCUAAUUCACACUCCAACUUAAAGCACAACUAUCUCUAAAGCCCUACCAUGACAUUCAACAAGUAUGGUGACAACUGCUAGAACCGAACCUUGCUGCGGGAAAGGAAAAAAAAAAAAA